GAGGGGAGGGCGCCAGUGGGGAGUGGCCCGGAGAGGGGCCCAGGCCCGGCACCUGGGCCAAGCUGGCCAGGGGCCAAGUCUGCUGCCCCUGCGGAGGGAGGCCGUUCCCUUGCCGCCCCACCCUGGGGGCUCCAGGCCGAGGGCUUGCCAGUCCAUCUCUGCCAACUGAGCGCUGUGCCCAGCCCGCCCCCUCCAACCCUGCCUGUCGCCCAAUUAGAGGCUGCGUUGGCUCCAACAGAUGGGAGCUGCGGCAGCCUGAGAACAGAGCACAAAGCCCCGCUGACAUUUUCCUCCGUUCUUUGGUGGGGGAGGAAGGGCAGGGACGCAGGGGGAGCCCAGGUCUACGGCGUUGCUUCCUUCGGCGACUCAGCCCAGCCCAGAAGGCUCAGCCCCUCCCGGCCCAGCGGCUCCACCUGCGCAGCCGGAGCCCGCACCGCUGGUUGCCAGCAGGACGCACGGCCCACCUGUGGCUGGCCAGGCCGCCGGUCUCCGGGGUGCUGGGUGGGCUCAGGGCUACUCUUCCGUUUCCGGGGCUCCCCCUCUGCAGCCCCCAGGCUGAGCCCAAAGCCGGCCCAUCCCCCACCCCAAAUGUCCCAUCUUGCGCUUCAGUCUGACCUCAGGCGAGGAGGAGACCCCCAGCCUCUGGUCCCCGACACUCGGAACAGACCCAAGGCCACCACGUCCCCCUGCACCGACAGUCGAGCUCCAAAAAAGCGGACGUCCCGCGGCUCCGGGGCGCCUCACCCUGGCGCUGGGCAGCCCCGUCACACCCUCCCUGACCUCUCUGCCCCUCUCGGCUCCCGCACAACUCCAGGCCCGCAAGGCCAGCAACAGUUCGGGGAGGCUCAAAGGCCCUCCGGGGUGGAGGCCCGCACGCCCCCGCCCGCCGCCAGCUCCUUCGCGCCGCUCGGCCGCCGCCUCCUCCCGAGCCGCCGCCAACCCUGCGGGCACCGCGGGCGACGCCAGCGGCCGCCUCUCCCCCGGCCCCCAAACCGGCCAGGCCGAGCGCCCCGCGGCGGCUGCUCCGGCCGCGUCCCCGCAGCAUCUUCUGCGGCCUCAAGUCCACUACGCUC
rnacentral:lncRNA from 1 species